AGCUAUAAGAUGAUAUUUGUAGUCUUACCUGCCCAAUGUAUAAUUAAAAAUGAAUGGCCGCGGUACCCUGACCGUGCUAAGGUAGCGUAAUCAGUUGGCUUUUAAAUGGAGUCAGGAAUGAAUGGAAUAACCGGGUUUAGCUGUCUCUAAGUUGUUUUAUUGAAUUUACUGUGUAAGUGAAAAAGCUUAUGCGUAGAAAAGGGACGAGAAGACCCUUAGAAUUUCUCUUAAUACAAGUGGUUUAUUUAUUUGUUAUGGUUUUGUUGGGGCGACAAAGAAGCAUCUUAGAACUUUCUUUUUUAACUGGCCGAUAGUGUUAAGCAAGAAUAAAUUACCUGAGGGAUAACAGCAUAAUUCUACAGAUGAGUUUGUGACCUCGAUGUUGGACUAGGAAACUAGCAGGCUAGCCGUUUGCUGUGUGGGUUCUGUUCGAACUUUAAUUCCU
rnacentral:rRNA from 1 species